CAGCAGCCGCGGGAAUACGAAGGGUGCAAGCGUUAAUCGGAAUUACUGGGCGUAAAGCGUGCGUAGGCGGUGAGUUAAGUCUGCUGUGAAAUCCCCGGGCUCAACCUGGGAAUGGCAGUGGAUACUGGCUCGCUAGAGUGUGUCAGAGGAUGGUGGAAUUCCCGGUGUAGCGGUGAAAUGCGUAGAGAUCGGGAGGAACAUCAGUGGCGAAGGCGGCCAUCUGGGACAACACUGACGCUGAGGCACGAAAGCGUGGGGAGCAAACAGGAUUAGAUACCCGGUAGUCCCUGUCUCUUAUACA
rnacentral:rRNA from 1 species